GACGAACGCUGGCGGCGUGCCUAAUACAUGCAAGUCGACCUUAGUGGCGGACGGGUGAGUAACACGUAGGAACCUCAACAUCCGAGGGGGAUAACACUUGGCAACAGGUACUAAUACCCCCAGCUGAUGGAUGGACCCGAGGUGCAUUAGCUAGGUGGUGAGGUAAUGGCUCACAUAGGCGACGAUCCCUCGCUGGUCUGAGAGGAUGAUCAGCCACACUGGGACUGAGACACGGCCCAGACUCCUACGGGAGGCAGCAGUGGGGAAUAUUGCACAAUGGGCGCAAGCCUGAUGCAGCCAUGCCGCGUGUAUGAAGAAGGCCCUAGGGUUGUAAAGUACUUUUGGCAGAGAAGCGGUAUCUGCAGAAUAAGCACCGGCUAACUACGUGCCAGCCGCCGCGGUAAUAC
rnacentral:rRNA from 1 species